rnacentral:rRNA from 1 species
UCGAACGGCAGCAUGAUCUAGCUUGCUAGAUUGAUGGCGAGUGGCGAACGGGUGAGUAAUACAUCGGAACGUGCCCUGUAGUGGGGGAUAACUAGUCUAAAGAUUAGCUAAUACCGCAUACGACCUGAGGGUGAAAGUGGGGGACCGCAAGGCCUCAUGCUAUAGGAGCGGCCGAUGUCUGAUUAGCUAGUUGGUGAGGUAAAGGCUCACCAAGGCGACGAUCAGUAGCUGGUCUGAGAGGACGAUCAGCCACACUGGGACUGAGACACGGCCCAGACUCCUACGGGAGGCAGCAGUGGGGAAUUUUGGACAAUGGGCGAAAGCCUGAUCCAGCAAUGCCGCGUGUGUGAAGAAGGCCUUCGGGUUGUAAAGCACUUUUGUCCGGAAAGAAAUGGCUCUGGUUAAUACCUGGGGUCGAUGACGGUACCGGAAGAAUAAGGACCGGCUAACUACGUGCCAGCAGCCGCGGUAAUACGUAGGG